CUGGCAACAGGGCUCUCUUUCUUGGAUGUCUCAGCCAUGACAGUUGGCAGAGACCUUUCACACAUUCUGCACUCUGAGAUGUGUCUAUGAGGCUGCUCGUGUUCCAAGUAAGAGAGACUUCUCACAUCACAGCAGUGUCAUGGGAUAUUUACUGUGAAUAGGAAGUCCCACGCCCCCCAGGUUAUAACUCCUCUACAGGAUGGCUGGGGGCUUGAAGAUGUUCUCAAUCACACACUCUGGCUUCUGCAGACCCUAAUGUUGAGGUGAGGACUCCAUCAGCACCUUGGGCCUGAUCCUUGGU
rnacentral:sRNA from 1 species